GCCAUACUCACGGUCGCGGGUUGGGAUCAGCUGUGCCUCCCCAUCCCCAUCCCCUACAGACCACCUCCCCUUACCCUGCCUGCCUGGAGCCCCAGCUGGCUCUUAGAAGGUCCCUUUCCAAUUUGCUCCACAUUCGGGAGUUUCUUAUUCCCACGGGAAGAACUCGUUGCCACGGCGACGUGCGCCUCCCAACCCUGAAGCCCGCCCUGGAGGCGAAAUCCUUGCCUGUGCAGCCCUGCCUGGGCUCCCAGGCUGAGCCGGAGGACCCCGGGGGUUCACCUAGCUCUCUGCCAGAUGCCGUCUCUAGUUCGGGAGCGUUGGAUAGGGAUGCCAGCCAGGCACUCUGCUUUUCCUAAACAACUUCCAAGAACCCCGGAACAUUUCUUAAAGUGUCUGGAACGAAGCUUUAACCUCGCCUGCUCCAUCAGCCUGGGACGGAAAAGACGGGAGGGGCGAAGAAGAGGCGGGGCAAGGGGAGCCCGGGCAGUUCGGUUUAGGUCUACAAGCCAGGUUCAAGGCCACCAACUGAGGCACCUGUCCUGAGACAGGACCAUUCUAAUCUGCCCUGAAAAGGACAUCCCAUUGAUCAUACUAAAUUUGUGGAUGGAUGCCUAUCUGUUGACCAGACCCUCCCUCUUCAAUGAAAACUGCCUCUCCUUCCACUCCAUCUGUGAGGCACCCUUGGAUGCUGACAUGUGCUUACAUAGGACUUCCUGUCCACAGCCAGAAUUAGCCAGAAUUCACUGACCCAUGGUUGGACUCCUAAAAUACUCAAGAUGAGAGACAUGUUACUUUUCCUUACUAUAGUAACUAUCAAAUGCAUCCCAUAACCUUAUGUUGUAAACAUCAAAUAUGCACAAUAAAAUUUAUUUGAAAAAAUAAAGCUGGAAAAUUGAAAGU